GGSUUAUUGAGUAUAAUUUUAGGUYUAGCCUGCCCAAUGAGGUUUUAAAUGGCCGCGGUAUUUUGACCGUGCAAAGGUAGCAUAAUCAUUAGUUUUUUAAAUGAAAGCUUGUAUGAAGGGUUUGAUGAGAAAUUAGCUGUCUCUAUUUAAAUUAAUUAGAAUUUUAUUUUUAAGUAAAAAAGCUUAAAUAUGUGUGAAAGACGAGAAGACCCUAUAGAGUUUUAUGUUUAUUUUUUAGUAAAAUUUUUGGUAUUAGUGUGUUUAUUAAAGAGUAAGUGUUUCGUUGGGGUGAUGGGAAAAUUUAAAAAACUUUUCUUUUAUUGAUACAUUUGUUUAUGGUUAAGUGAUCCUUGAUUUAAAGAUAAUAAGAUAAAAUUACCUUAGGGAUAACAGCGUAAUUUUUUUUUAGAGUUCAGAUUAAAAAAAAAGAUUGCGACCUCGAUGUUGGAUUAAAAUUUAUUGUUGGUGCAGAAGCUAAUAAAUUAGGUCUGUUCGACCUAUAAAAUUUUACAUGAUCUGAGUUUARACCGGCGUGAGCCAGGUCGGU
rnacentral:rRNA from 1 species